GGAAUUUUCCGCAAUGGGCGAAAGCCUGACGGAGCAACGCCGCGUGAGGGAUGAAGGCCUCUGGGCUGUAAACCUCUUUUAUCAAGGAAGAAGAUCUGACGGUACUUGAUGAAUAAGCCACGGCUAAUUCCGUGCCAGCAGCCGCGGUAAUACGGGAGUGGCAAGCGUUAUCCGGAAUUAUUGGGCGUAAAGCGUCCGCAGGCGGUCUUUUAAGUCUGUCGUCAAAGCGUGGAGCUUAACUCCAUUACUGCGAUGGAAACUGGGAGACUAGAGUGUGGUAGGGGCAGAGGGAAUUCCCGGUGUAGCGGUGAAAUGCGUAGAUAUCGGGAAGAACACCAGUGGCGAAGGCGCUCUGCUGGGCCAUAACUGACGCUCAUGGACGAAAGCCAGGGGAGCGAAAGGGAUUAGAUACCCCUGUAGUCCUGGCCGUAAACGAUGAACACUAGGUGUCGGGGGAAUCGACCCCCUCGGUGUCGUAGCCAACGCGUUAAGUGUUCCGCCUGGGGAGUACGCACGCAAGUGUGAAACUCAAAGGAAUUGACGGA
rnacentral:rRNA from 1 species